GUGCCAUGGCUCUAUGCUCUGAUUCUGCAUAAAUUACAUUUUGCUUCUUACUCUUCCAAGACACUAAAUUUCUUUUAACAAAGAUACAAUGCCUAGUAGUAAUCUUCUGUCAACUUUGGAUCCUGCCCAAACUGCAUAUGAAAAAAUUAAAUAUUAAAAUGUCAAAGAUUUGAAUACAUCAAAUCCCUUUCUGGAGAAAUCUUAAGUAACACAAGAUUUUUUCUAAUGCUGCCCAAUGAUUAACUGUUGGAGAAUACAUGAACUAACUUACUACACUAACAAAGUAUGCAAUGU
rnacentral:misc_RNA from 1 species